CAGAUGUUAUUUCCCCGGUUGAGUCUUUCCAUUUUAUGAGGAAUUCCGCGAGUCCCCCAGUAGUUUUAAGUCUUAGCCUGGCCUAUGCAUAACUCCUUUUCCCCCAGAUUCUCUGUCUCCCCAGUGAGUUUUCCUUACGAAAUACAUUAUACUCCUACGAAUUGUCGGUCUCUCUGAUUUCUUUUCCUUUGUGGCAAUAUUUC
rnacentral:lncRNA from 1 species